GAUGAACGCUGGCGGCGUGCCUAAUACAUGCAAGUCGAGCGAACAGAUGAGGAGCUUGCUCCUCUGACGUUAGCGGCGGACGGGUGAGUAACACGUGGAUAACCUACCUAUAAGACUGGGAUAACUUCGGGAAACCGGAGCUAAUACCGGAUAAUAUAUUGAACCGCAUGGUUCAAUAGUGAAAGACGGUUUUGCUGUCACUUAUAGAUGGAUCCGCGCCGCAUUAGCUAGUUGGUAAGGUAACGGCUUACCAAGGCGACGAUGCGUAGCCGACCUGAGAGGGUGAUCCGCCACCCUGACUCUGAGACGCGCCCCAGACCCCUGCGGGGGGCCGCAGUGGAAACUUUCGGCAUUGGCCAAAGCCCUACCGGGGCACGGCGCCGUAGGUAUGAAGGUUCUCCGAUCGUUAAACCCCUGUUUUAGGGAAGAACAAAUGUGUAAGUAACUAUGCACGUCUUGACGGUACCUAAUCAGAAAGCCACGGCUAACUACGUG
rnacentral:rRNA from 1 species